rnacentral:misc_RNA from 1 species
GAAAUGCGAUAAGUGGUGUGAAUUGCGGAAUUCAGUGAAUCAUCGAAACUUUGAACGCACAUUGCGCCCGCGAGCACUCUGGCGGGCUUGCCUGUUCGAGCGUCAUUACAACCAUCAAACCCCCCGGGUUUGUGCUGGGGAUCUGCGGCUAACCGCAGGCCCUGAAAACCAGUGGCGGGCCCGCCGCCGUGCCCGAGCGUAGUAGAUCUAUCCUCUAGCUCCGGGUGCGUAGCGGGCUUCCCCGCCGUUAAACCCCACCAUCAAGCUAGGUUGACCUCGGAUCAGGUAGGAAUACCCGCUUAACUUAA